rnacentral:rRNA from 1 species
CCUACGGGAGUCAGCAGUGAGGAAUAUUGGUCAAUGGCCGAGAGGCUGAACCAGCCAAGUCGCGUGAGGGAAGACGGCCCUACGGGUUGUAAACCUCUUUUGUCGGGGAGCAAAGCGAACCACGUGUGGUUCAUUGAGCGUACCCGAAGAAAAAGCAUCGGCUAACUCCGUGCCAGCAGCCGCGGUAAUACGGAGGAUGCGAGCGUUAUCCGGAUUUAUUGGGUUUAAAGGGUGCGCAGGCGGAGGUGCAAGUCAGCGGUCAAAUUGCGGGGCUCAACCCCGUACUGCCGUUGAAACUGCAGCCUUGGAGUGCGCAAGAAGUAGGCGGAAGGCGUGGGGUAGCGGUAAAAUG